GACCCCUUUGCCUAUCCGUCUGCCAGGAGCACCUAAGGGUGGCCGUCCUGAGGGUCACGGUGGACAGCCCGGCCCAGUGCCACCCCCACCAUGAGGACCCAGUGUAUCAGUGCCACACAGGGCCCCUCGGCUACCCAGUGGCCCUGAGAAAGCGGAAAGGGCUCGUCCCUCCUGGACUCACAGAUAUUGCUCUUGGCUCCAGGACAGAAAAGUGAGAGGAAUGACUGGCUCUCCGGAGACAGGAAAACAGCAGACUGUUUAAUGAGGCCAGGAGGGCCUUUUACAGGGGUUGUGCACCCACCCACUGCUCUCCUGUGGCCCAUGGCUGAGGUGCUGGAAGGGCACGCUGGGCCUCGAAGUCAGACCUCAGUCAGGGGCAGCGAGACCACUGCAGAGCCAGCACCCUGGGAGAGUGGGCGGUGAGGGAAGGUGGAAGGGAGGGAGGAUGGCGAUCAGGCUCCUGCUACUCACAGGACCUGGCUGGGCCCAGUCACCUUCUCCUCUGUCUGAACUGGACAGGGCUUGACCAUUGACGGCAAGGGCAGGCUAGGGGGUCCCGGCAGCAUGGCCUGCGUGCAGGACCAGCCUCUUAGGACCUCUGUGGCCCUCACAAAAGCCACAAAACCCACCCUUAAUUACCUUUUGGGGAGCUGCUCCUGUAUAGGAAAACAUGGAUGUAUUUGCUUCAGUAGUUUUUCAACAUAUUGCAUGAUUUAAAUGCCAGGCUCUUGUUCUUUCAGUUUUAGGGCCUUUGCACUGAACUACAGCUACUUGUUUGUUCACUUAUUUUCGAAAGAGGCUCUCACUAAGUUACUAAGUUGCCCGGGCAGGGAUUGAACUUGACCUCCUCAUGCCUCAGCCUCCCAGAGGACCAAGGUCUGCAGAUGUGUGCCACCACACCCAGGGAGUGUGUACCUCUGAAGCGUGGUUUUGUUCCAGUUUGGAGAAGCCUCAAUUCUUGGGUUCGUCACAUUUUCCCAGAGAUGAAAGAGAGGAAGACCAGGGGAGAGAGUCAAAGCCUCUGUCCAAUGGCUGCGUGUGGGCAGGCCGGCAGCCCGCGUGUCAAGGAAGCUGUCUCUAUACUGGACCUGGCGUGGACCUGGGAGCUGGGUCUGAAGGGAAUCUACAACUCGAAGGCUACUUUGGUGACUCAGGGACACGAGAUCUAUAUCUCCAUGCUGCUCUUGGCCUUCUCUUGUGAUCACAAGACAGCUGCUACAGCUCCACGCAUGAAUGAAGGCAAAGCCAGGGAUAUCUGGAAAGCAGAAGCCUUGACUUCUGUUCAUCUCCUCACUCAGGACCGAGUCACAAGGCCACCUUGGUUAUACUGUGUGUAGGAAAAUAAGUGUUUUGUUUCUUGGGUGUGUAGAAUGGAGGCAGCUGGCAGAGGGGUUCUCCAUGUCAGCAGUGCUGGCUGCUUGAGUUCGUUCAAAAUAAUGACCCUCAUGGAGCCGUCAGCCAGAAGACAGAGACUCUCUGGAGACGGGUUACAUUUGUUUGGAAAUAAAAUUUUAAAAACUUGCAACGGGAA
rnacentral:lncRNA from 1 species